GAUCGGGAUUCGAUGCACAUGAGAGGUUUGUUUCCAGCGUUUGGACAGUUGCAAAAUACUCCCCCCCUUCCUCCUCCUACUCAGCCACCUCUUCGCCCCACUCUUCCAUCUCCUCUCCACCACCACCAGGUUGCAUUUCGAAGAAUAGAGUGAGUCAUUGUUAUGGAUCCAGCACGCGGAUUCCUGACCCAAAGUAAAAUUCCGAAUCCGGUUAUCCGAAUCCGAAUCAUCGAAACUCUCUAGAAGGUCCGGGACCGACCCACUAGAACUCCCAACCAAUUUUUGAAUUCGAACGUCUCCCUUAUCUUAGCCAGAGAAAAUAAGAUACGAUAGCUACCUUCGCCUAUAAAUAGAGGACCCAGGUCCCUCCAGGUAUUCAUUCAUUCCUCACACCUUGUACCUCUCAGAUCCAUUCUGACUUGAGCGUCGGAGUGUCUUUGCAGGUACCUCCCCCCAUCGCUCCAGUCAAGUAAUUCGGCUUCCGCCUCGACCUGCUAGUUUCCGAUCCAUCCCUCAACCCGUACUGGAGGCAUCCAGUAGAUUGGCGCCGUCUGUGGGAAACUUACGCCGGUUUAGUCGGAAUGGCGGAUGAACCCGAAGAGCAUUCCAUAAGUCGCCAAGAUAACUCCCGAACACGAAACCCUACUCCUGAAAACCAAGAAGCCAUACUCCAAGGAAGGAUAGCAAGUACCGUCCAUAACAAAGAAAACAACCCCGCCAAGACUCGGAAUCUCGGGAAUCCGGAAGACAAGUCAGCGCAAAUAAUCAGAGAACUCUGCCACAGAGUACAGGAACUUGAAGGUCGGGUUGCCAACAAAGAAAGGCAUAACGCCGAACAUGGAAGUCACGCAACCUCCAGAUCCAGGUCCCGCCACGGCAAAUCGCCAGAACGACGACACGCCAAAAGGCAUGAUAGAAGCACCUCACGUAACAGAUCUCCAGAAUGAAGAUACAGCAAAAGAUACGACCGCAGAAUAUCUCGCGAUCCCGCCCACACGGACGAUGACCAACGAUACCGAGAAACCAAAUGCACAAGAAACGACCAUGUGAUAAUGGGAGCCACCCCCUUCACAGAAAGAAUUUUGAAAGCAAAGCUCCCCAAAGGAUUUGAUAAAUCCACGGACAUGAAAUACGACGGAACCAAAGACCCCCAGGAAUAUUUAACAGCAUUCAAAGCCUGAAUGAACCUAGAAGGCGCCACUGACGCCGUCCGAUGCAGAGCCUUCCCAGUGACCUUGUCCGGACCAGCGAUCAAAUGGUUCAAUGCCCUCCCCAACGAAUCCAUAACCGGCUUUCGCGACAUAUCACGAAGGUUCAUGGCCCAAUUCACCACCAGAAUCACCAAGGCCAAACACCCCAUCAGCCUAUUAGGGUUCACACAAAGGCACGACGAAUCCACAAGGAAGUAUCUCGACCGAUUCAACGACGAAUGCCUAACAAUCGACGGGCUCAUAGACUCGGUCGCAAGUCUCUGCCUUACGAACAGACUCAUGAAUGAAGACUUCCGCAAACACCUUACCACCAAACCAGUAUGGUCCAUUCACGAGAUCCAAAACAUCGCCAAAGAUUAUAUAAACAACGAAGAGGUCAGUCAGGUCGUCGCCGCCAACAAACGGCAACACAACAAUGCCCAAUACGGCAACCCGACUCCUCGGCACAACCCACCCAGAGAAGGCCUAAGGGAACACCACAAACCAACAAACACAAAUCGACCACCCAGGAUCGGCAAAUUCUCUAAUUACACACCCCUAACGGCCCCAAUUACCGAGAUAUACCACCAGAUAGCAGAUCGAGGCAUCAUCUCAAAAGCCCGGCAACUCAAAGAAAGAACAGGUAGCAACAAAAUCCUCUACUGCGACUACCACCGAGGUUACGGGAACAGGACACAAGACUGUUUCGACCUCAAAGACGCCCUCGUACAAGCCAUAAGAGAUGGCAAACUCCCAGAGUUCGCCAAAAUCAUCAGAGAACCAAGACGUGCAGAAAGGGACAGGUCAACUGAAAGAGAAGGACGCAACCCGAGAACACAAAAACAACCUCCCAAGGAAAGUCUAGAAGACAACCCGACCAUAAUAGUAAACGUUAUCACAGGCAAAGACAUACCAGGCAAAUCAAAAUCGACGCUAAAAAAGGACCUCAAGGUCUUGGCCGUCAGAAAUCAAGCCCCAUCUACCACUCCCGACAAAACGAUAAACUUUCUACCCGAGGACUGCCAACACGGCACCUAGGCCGAAGAUGCACCUUUCGUCAUCUCGGCAAGAAUCGGAACGGGACUAGUUCGAAGGAUACAAGUGGACACCGGUGCAGACUCCAACAUCCUCUUCCCAGAAUCCUUCGACAAGCUCGGGCUCCGCAACGAAAAUCUCCAAACACACUGCAAUGGCGUUAUAGGACUUAGGGACAAUUUCCUCAAACCGGACAGCUCCAUCACCCUACCCCUCACCAUAGGGACAGGCAACCAAAGGAAGACAAUUCUGUCCGAAUUUGUGGUCCUAAAAGAUUCCACCGCCUACAACGUCAUCCAUGGAAGGAAAACGAUCAAUGACAUCUCCGCCAUCAUUUUUACCAAAUAUCUCCUUAUGAAAUUCAUAGCGGAUGACGGCUACAUAGCCACUAUUCACGGAGACCGCGAGGUCGUAGCAGAAUGCGACAACACCAGUCUAGCUUUACGAAAGAAGUCUUGCGAUGCGGCUGGGAUAUUCCUAGCCGACUUGGACGCCCGACAAGACGGCCAGCACAGACCAGAACCAGAAGGCGACAUGGAAAAACUACAAAUAGGACGAACCAAAGACGAAUACACUUUCAUCAACAGAAACCUCCCAUACGACCUUAAAGAAAACCUUUCUCAAUUUUUGAAACAAAACAGAGACCUAUUCGCUUUCACACUAGCCGACAUGCCCGGGAUAGACCCCGACCUAAUGUCCCACCGACUAGCCGUAGAUCCCAAAGCCAAACCCGUGGCACAAAGAAGACGAAAAAUGUCCCAGGACUGGGCAGCCGAGGUCAGGAGACAAGUAAAUGCCUUACUCGAGGCAAACUUCAUCAGAGAACUACCAUACACGACGUGGUUGGCAAACGUCGUAUUAGUAAAGAAGUCCAACGGGAAAUGGCGAAUGUACGUCGAUUAUACGGACCUUAACAAAGCUUGUCCAAAAGACGCCUUCUCCCUACCCAACAUCGAUGGAUUGGUAGACGCCGCAUCCGGCCAUCGAUACCUCAGCUUCAUGGAUGCAUACUCCGGCUAUAAUUAAAUACCGAUGCACCGACCCGACGAGAAAAAAACAGCAUUUAUCACCCCCGACGGAACAUACUGCUACACGGUCAUGCCUUUUGGCCUAAAGAACGCCGGAGCAACCUACCAAAGGCUCGUCAGUAAGAUAUUUCAAAAUCUGUCUGGAACCAAAUUAGAAGUCUACAUAGAUGACAUGCUCGCCAAAACUGAAUCCGGCGAACAACUCAUCAGCGACCUCAGGCUCAUAAUGAACACCCUACGAAAGCAUCGAAUGCGACUCAACCCGACAAAAUGCGUCUUCGGAAUGGAGGCAGGAAAAUUCCUCGGCUUCAUUUUCACUUAACGCGAAGUCGAAGCUAACCCAGAGAAAUGUCGCACCAUCCUUGACAUGACAAGCCCAAAAAACCUCAACGACAUCCAAAAGCUCGCCGGCCGGCUCACAGUGUUAUCCCGCUUCCUCGGAGCAUCGGCACAAAAAGCAAUUCCCUUCUUCAAACUGAUGAAGAAAGGAGCCCCCUUUAAAUGGGAAGCAGAAUGCGAAGAAGCCUUCCAACACUUCAAAAGAGUCCUAGCAGAACCACCAAUUCUCGCCAAACCCCAAACAGGGGAGACCCUCUACCUAUACCUCUCCAAAACGGAUGAGGCACUGGCAGCAGCACUCAUUCGCGAAAACGAGCAGAAAGAACAAAAACCCAUAUACUUCAUAAGCAAGGUCCUACAAGACGCAGAGACCCACUACUCACGUCUAGAAAAACUCGCUUUCGCGCUCCUCACGGCCUCCCGGCACUUACGACAAUACUUCUAGGCCCAUCCCGUGACGGUCCGGACCGACCAAGCAGUCAAACAGGUACUACAAAAGCCCGACCUACCAGGAAGAAUGCUAGCAUGGUCCAUCGAGCUGUCCCAAUUCCAAUUCAAGUUUGAACCCCGAAACGCAAUCAAAGCACAAGCCAUGGCCGACUUCAUCGCCGAAAUGACUCCGGGAAAUCCCACUCCCGAGUCAUGGAAGCUGCACGUCGACGGCUCAUCAAACGUCACCUCCGGAGGUGCCGGGGUCAUACUCGAAAGCUAAAACGGGGUCGUAAUCGAACAGUCAGUACGAUAUGAAUUCCCAGUUUCUAAUAAUCAAGCAGAAUAUGAGGCCCUCCUGGCAGGCCUAGCCCUAGCCAAGGACGUCGGAGCAAAAGUCCUGGAAGUAAGCACUGAUUCACAGGUAUUUAGCUCCCAAAUCAACGGAGACUACCAAACACGGGACCCUUUACUCCAACAAUACCUUGCCAAGGUAAACAAACCGAAAGAAGGGUUCAAUCACAUCACCAUACGGCACGUUCCCAGAGAACGAAAUACCAGAGCAGAUCUUCUCUCCAAGCUAGCCAGCACCAAACUAGGACACGGCAAUAAAUCGCUAAUUCAGGAAGUCAUUAAAUCACCGUCCAUAUCCACAGCAGCUAACGCUUGCCUGACACUCUCUGGCCAAGGAUCAUGGACCUACCCUAUCCUACAAUACCUCCUCGACGGAACACUACCUGAAGACCCCAAAGAGGAGAAAUGGACAAAAAGAGAAGCCGCCAACUACACGGUUGUCGCAGGGCAACUAUACAAACCUGGACUCUCGCAACCCCUCCUCAAAUGCGUUGAAGCCGGAGACACGGAGUACAUACUCCGCGAAAUCCAUAAAGGUUGUUGUGGCCACCACAUCGGAGGUAAAACCCUCGGCCAAAAAGUUAUCCGAGCCAGCUACUUCUGGCCCACGGUUAUCCAGGACUCCAUGCAGUUAGUAAAAAAUUGCGAUAAAUGCCAAAAGCACGCCAACAUCCACCAGGCCGCCCCGCACCAGCUCAGCAUCAUAUCGGGAGAGCAGCCAUUCGGCACCUGGGGAAUCGACCUUGUCGAACCCCUUCCUACGGCACCCGGCCAACUCCGAUAUCUCAUCGUCGCCAUACUACACUAAGUGGAUCGAGGCUGAGCCCCUGGCCUCCAUCACGGCAACCCAAUGCCGAAAAUUCCUCUGGCGACAGAUCAUCACCCGAUUCGGGAUCCCCGAGAUCGUUAUCUCGGACAACGGAACCCAAUUUGCUGACAAAAAGUUCAGAGAAUUCCUAGAAGGACUACACAUAUCCCACCGUUUUAGCUCGGUAGAACACCCCCAAACAAACGGACAGGUGGAAUCUGCAAACAAAAUAAUCGUCAAAGGACUCAAGAAACGGCUCGACGAAGCCAAAGGACUAUGGGCCGACGAACUCGGUUUGGUCCUAUGGUCAUACAGAACAACACCCCAAACGACCAUAGGGGAGACACCUUUCCGAUUAACAUACGGUAUAAAAGUCGUCAUCCCAGUGGAGAUAGGAGACCCAAGCCCCAGAAAAACGGUCGGAAGGAACGACGAGGAAGCGGAACGCGACCUCAUCGACGAAGAAAGAAGCAUAGCUCAUAUCAGAAACUAGCCCUAAAACAAAGAAUCAGCUUAAGGUACAACCACGGCGUCAUCAAAUGAGAAUUUGCACCCGACGACCUCGUCCUACGACGAAAUGACAUCGGAGCCCCGACCCCAGGGGAAGGAAAACUCACCCCCAAUUGGGAAGGACCAUACAGAAUCAAAGCCACCAUCGGAAGGGGAGCAUACAAACUCGAACGACUCAACGGCGACGAAGUCCCGAGAACAUGGAACGCCGCCAACUUACGACGCUACUACACUUAGACCGACCUCUUUAGGCAUUUCAGAGGCAGCAAGCACCAAAUCCAGUGUCUGUAACUGCUCUGCCACAACAACCACCGGGGAUACGCCCUCGAGUGCGAGCAAGAAGAGGCCAAGCUACCGAUCCUCACAGUAUUGCUGAGAGG